CGCACAUCAGCCCCCAUUCAUUGAAGCAUUUGAGGCGACGGAGAACUAGCACACAGCUAAUUUGAACCUGUGCAUCGAGAACACCCGUAUCAUUGCGCAUGACAAAGUUCACAGUGGAUAAAGUCUUCACUCCACCAAUGGGGAAACAUCAUGGAUGUCUUGAAGGCCGAUGACCGCUUCAUCAUGCUGGUCAAUGCCAUCCAGAGAGCAGGUAUAACUGAGCUUCUGAACCAGCAGGUGGUGUUCACCUUCUUCGCUCCCACCAAUGAUGCUUUCAAUGCACUGCCGCAGGAUGAAGGCAACAGGCUGAUGCAUGAGUUUUAUUCAACCACACAGCUUCUCUUUAUUCACAUUCUUAAUUUACCCACAUGGACAGUUUCCAGAGACGUGUGUAAAGCAUCUCUCUUCUUUACAGCAGUUUAUACUGAGAGGUGAACCACACAGCCUCUCAUUUGAUACCAUAUCUCCUUCACCCUCACCUCACGUCUGUUUUGACUAACAUCUCUGUAUGAAAAUGAAAUUGAAGAACAAUCAAAUCGUUAUGUCUUAGUCUUUCUUACAACAAAA